AUGCAUCCGGUCCUGCUGCACCCCCAGGAACUCAGCUCCCCCGACCCUGAAACCUCUCUAGAAGGUCAAGCUCAUCUUCAAAUCACACGCCUGGAGCAGCCCCUAAUGGGAGCAGCCCCUGCCCACCCAGCCUCCAGACAAGUCACCAACCUGCUCCUGUCCCCGGGCAGCGUCCCCUGGUCCCGUGUGCUCCCGUCCCACUGCAGUCACAGGAAGGCCGUGACUUAUGAGGCCCCUUUGUCACUGCUCUGGCCUAGCCCCACCCACCCGGAGCCUCCGCCCCUUCCCCCACCCCCCACCAGCUCUUCCAUCUGCUGCCCAGAAUGUCUCUCCCAAGAGCUGGGGAACACAGGCCACAGCAUGAAGGACCCAUCACCCUGCAGGGCGGGGCCCAAAGCACCAAGGGACAAACACCUAUACCCCUCACUUCACAGGGCCUGUCCCAGAGAAGCCCAUGGGGAGGCCCCUCAGGGACCAAGGUCACCAUGUGUCACCCCAGGGGGCCAAGCUAUGAGUAAUGGGCAGGGGGUUUCUGGCAGCCUCGGUGAGUGGCAGCCUGGAGCAGCAACUGGACGCCAGUGUCACACCAGCAGCCACAGCCUCCUCUCUCGUCCAGCAUCGCCUCCCAGGACCUGUGACCCCAAACCCGAGCCAUUUGUGGGACUCUCCAGUGCCCAGGGCACCCCCGCUCUGCCCUGCCCAGCCUCCUCUGCACCUACCCCUUCUCCACAACCCUCCGCAGUCUGUGACAGCCAGCCAAGCACAGCCCCUCCAGAGCCCUCUCAGCCCACCCAACAGCCUCAGAGCCUGACCCAACCAAGGCUUGUGGUGGCGGCGGGGAAAAGUACCCAGUCUAGGCCCCAAGCACUCCCCUGCUGGACCCCAGGACACACCCCCCAGAACCGCCCGACCCCAACCUGGACCAGCCCCUUCUCCCAAGUGCUCCGAGGGUGCCAGGGCCCCUCUGGGUUCAGCUUCUGGAGGCAGAGGUGCUCUGGGGUAGGCAGGCACAGCACAGGGCCCUCAGGCUGCUGGCCAGCAGAGGCCACCAUCCAGUGA
rnacentral:lncRNA from 1 species